rnacentral:snoRNA from 1 species
UUUUGUAUUUGUGCCAUUUUAAAAUGCCCUGUCUGUUUUUUAAAAUAAACUUCGGGACACUGAAAUAGGCCAGGAGAGAUUAUUGGAUAAAAAGUAUUAUACUAUUUAUUUAUCUCCCAGCCUACAAAA